rnacentral:tRNA from 1 species
GGUCGCGUAGCUCAGUUGGUUAGAGUACUACCUUGACAUGGUAGGGGUCACAGGUUCGAAUCCUGUCGCGACCA